AGGGCUGGAGAGCUGAAUUGAAUGUAUGACCCCAGGAAGACAUGUGCUGGGCUCUGUUGGGCAAUCUGUGAUGAGAGAUCCUGCCCACAUCUUGCUUCAGAGUUUUCACCCUCUGACUUCCUGCUCCACACCUGAAUCCAUUCUCCAUCAACUCCUCUGGCCUGGCCUUGCUAUAGCCAUGGAUCCAGCAUCCAUGGAUUUGCUCAUGUUCCCAUGUGGUGAAUGAAGGAAUUUGGCUGCUGACAUGUCAACAGACUUACUCCAGGACCCACAACUGAGAGGUGGUGGGAAGACUAGAGCAACAUGCUCCAUGAAGACAUGGAGCACCAGUGCGGUGCCUGAGCUUGGGAGAGUAACACAACAUUACUCAAGGUUGUGUCGCUUGCAGAGUCAUCUUGAGGACAAACUCUGGCUCUCUGAGAUGCCUGCUGGCCCACAUGCAGUACCAGGUGGAGACUGUCAUAGUGGACAUUUAGUUUCACAACUCUCCCCUUUCUCGAAAAUGCCCUGGAUCCCACUUAUUGGGAUAUAAGAGGAUGUGGUAACACCAGAUACUUCAAAAUAUGUCCUCCAUGGUUUGUAUUUGUUUUUAGAUCUACUUUGAAUGAAUUCUGUGGUAUUUAUAGUGUCACAGAGCAAACUUAACAUGUUCCUAAGAAACAACAAAAAAAAUUCUUAUACUGUUGUAAUCACCUGUUUUAAUAUUCUACAAAUGUCCAAUAACCUCUUCUCAUAUCCGGCCUUUCCCUCGUGGAGUGUGUGUGGAUGCACUGGAACUGGAGGGUGUGAGAGCAGUUGCUGAGAUACGGCCCAGAGACAGAAACAACAAGUCCGCUCUGCAAACAUGGCCAUUUACUCCUACGAGUUCUAAGUGAGGAAUCCAUCCUGAACUGCUGUUUGUGGGAGUUCUUGACUAGGCAGGCUGCCCGUUUUACAAUGACCACAUCACAUCAAUGUAAAAGGGAGUAGUUAGGGAUACAGAAGCCAACUCCCAGAACAAAUAAAACAAAUAAAGCAGGUAAAGUCUAUUUCAUUUCCACUUGAUGAAUGUACAGAUAUUGCUAGCAUGAAAAUUAUUAUGUAUGUGUGAUAUCAAUAUGGCAGUGAUAUGAAGAAGAAUUAGUCUUUCAAAAGUUGCUGACAAACCCAACCAUCUCUGAACUGUUAUAAAACUGUGGUGGUUACAAUAUCAACACAUGUAGUCUAAGUUCUAAAUUUGGUGUAGAAGUAUGUUCUGAGGGAGCAGUGAUAGGAACUGAUAAACACUGUAGGAGCUGAUAAGAUUAUGGAGCUCACAUUGGACUAAGUGAAUAACGUGGUGAGUGCAUAAGUAAGAAUUUGGAAUUGCAUUAAAGUUAAUGUAUUACAUUUGAGAUGACUCUCUUUGUUAUGUGAUAGGACAGAAACUGAUCAAAAAUAAAAAAGACUGCCUAAUGAAGAUUAAUUGUUAUUGUGGGGAAAAUUCUACUGAGAUGUGUGAACCAUGGACUGA